GGCCAGUUGGCUCAGUCGGGUAGAGCAUGGUGCUGGUAACACCGAGGUUGUGGUUUCGAUCCCUGUUCGGUCCC
rnacentral:tRNA from 1 species